GGCAGAAGAGGAAGAUCCAGAACGUUGAUUGGGAAACAAGAACAAACAAUGAGGCAUGAGGAUUGGGUGUUGAGGGACCACUUGUCACAUUGUCCAAGUCCAACAGGAGUGCAUCCCUCAGGCUAUCCGGUGCAUGAACAUCCUUUGCCAGUGGGAUCCGAGGGUGAUCGUCCAGUUGUGGAGAGUACAGCACAUCGAGCCUGGGGAUGGACAGGUACAUGCAGGGAUGACUGGGGCCUUCAGCAAGUAAGACACGGGGUUCAAGGAGACCUACCAUUCCACUGAACCUGCCACAGAGAAGGUGCUUUAGCCACUGAAGAUCCUCCUCUGU